GAAGCCAACUCUAAGAUGAAUCUUCUCUAAGCUCUCUAGAAGACGACUAGUUUGAUAGGCUGGGUGUGUAAUAGAUGAAAGUCUUUUAGCUGACCAGUACUAAUAGAGCGUUUGGCUUAUCUUU
rnacentral:rRNA from 1 species